GAUGAACGCUGGCGGCGUGCCUAAUACAUGCAAGUCGAGCGAACAGACGAGGAGCUUGCUCCUCUGACGUUAGCGGCGGAAGGGGGAGUAACACGUGGAUAACCUACCUAUAAGACUGGGAUAACUUCGGGAAACCGGAGCUAAUACCGGAUAAUAUAUUUAACCGCAUGGUUCAAUAGUGAAAGACGGUUUUGCUGUCACUUAUAGAUGGAUCCGCGCCGCAUUAGCUAGUUGGUAAGGUAACGGCUUACCAAGGCAACGAUGCGUAGCCGACCUGAGAGGGUGAUCGGCCACACUGGAACUGAGACACGGUCCAGACUCCUACGGGAGGCAGCAGUAGGGAAUCUUCCGCAAUGGGCGAAAGCUUGACGGAGCAACGCCGCGUGAGUGAUGAAGGUCUUCGGAUCGUAAAACUCUGUUAUUAGGGAAGAACAAAUGUGUAAGUAACUAUGCACGUCUUGACGGUACCUAAUCAGAAAGCCACGGCUAACUACGUG
rnacentral:rRNA from 1 species